GACGAACGCUGGCGGCGUGCUUAACACAUGCAAGUCGAACGAUGAACCUCCUUCGGGAGGGGAUUAGUGGCGAACGGGUGAGUAACACGUGGGCAAUCUGCCCUUCACUCUGGGACAAGCCCUGGAAACGGGGUCUAAUACCGGAUACGACCUACCGAGACAUCUUGGUGGGUGGAAAGCUCCGGCGGUGAAGGAUGAGCCCGCGGCCUAUCAGCUUGUUGGUGAGGUAACGGCUCACCAAGGCGACGACGGGUACCCGGCCUGAGAGGGCGACCGGGCAAACUGGGACUGAGACACGGCCCAGACUACUACGGGAGGCAGCAGUGGGGAAGAUUGCACAAUGGGCGAAAGCCUGAUGCAGCGACGCCGCGUGAGGGAUGACGGCCUUCGGGUUGUAAACCUCUUUCAGUAGGGAAGAAGCGAGAGUGACGGUACCUGCAGAAGAAGCGCCGGCUAACUACGUGCCAGCAGCCGCCGCGG
rnacentral:rRNA from 1 species